AGAGUUUGAUCAUGGCUCAGAACGAACGCUGGCGGCGUGCCUAACACAUGCAAGUCGAGCGCGAAAAGGGCAACCUGAGUAGAGCGGCGCACGGGUGCGUAACACGUGGGUAAUCUGCCUUAGAGUCGAGGAUAACUUUCCGAAAGGUUAGCUAAUACUCGGUAAGCUUACGGUGUCUUCGGACGCUGUGAGAAAAGUAGGCCUCUAUUUAUAAGCUUACGCUCUGAGAUGAGCCCGCGGCCCAUCAGCUAGUUGGCGGGGUAACGGCCCACCAAGGCAACGACGGGUAGCUGGUCUGAGAGGACGAUCAGCCACACUGGAACUGAGACACGGUCCAGACUCCUACGGGAGGCAGCAGUGGGGAAUUUUCCACAAUGGGCGAAAGCCUGAUGGAGCAACGCCGCGUGUGUGAUGAAGGUUUUCGGAUCGUAAAGCACUUUCGACCGGGACGAAAAACCUCUGGCUAACAUCCAGGGGCCUGACGGUACCGGGAGAAGAAGCACCGGCUAACUCUGUGCCAGCAGCCGCGGUAAUACAGAGGGUGCAAGCGUUGUUCGGAAUUAUUGGGCGUAAAGCGCGUGUAGGCGGCUUGGCAAGUCAGAUGUGAAAGCCCUCGGCUUAACCGAGGAAGUGCGUCUGAAACUGCUGAGCUUGAGUGUCGGAGAGGAUGGCAGAAUUCCGCAAGUGGAGGUGAAAUUCGUAGAUAUGCGGUGGAACACUGGUGGCGAAGGCGGGCCAUCUGGACGACUACUGACGCUGAGACGCGGAAGCGUGGGGAGCAAACAGGAUUAGAUACUCUGAUAGUCCACGCUGUAAACGAUGAGAACUAGGUGUCGUGAGUGUUGACUCUCGCGGUGCUGCAGCUACGCAUUAAGUUCUUCGACUGGGAAGUACGGCCGCAAGGCUAAAACUCAAAGGAAUG
rnacentral:rRNA from 1 species